rnacentral:rRNA from 1 species
UACAGAGGUCUCAAGCGUUGUUCGGAUUCAUUGGGCGUAAAGGGUGCGUAGGCGGCGGGGUAAGUCGGAUGUGAAAUCCCGGAGCUCAACUCCGGAACUGCAUUCGAUACUGCUCUGCUUGAGGACUGGAGAGGAGAUCGGAAUUCACGGUGUAGCAGUGAAAUGCGUAGAUAUCGUGAGGAAGACCAGUGGCGAAGGCGGAUCUCUGGACAGUUCCUGACGCUGAGGCACGAAGGCCAGGGGAGCAAACGGG